GACGAACGCUGGCGGCGUGCUUAACACAUGCAAGUCGAACGGAAAGGCCCUGCUUUUGUGGGGUGCUCGAGUGGCGAACGGGUGAGUAACACGUGAGUAACCUGCCCUUGACUUUGGGAUAACUUCAGGAAACUGGGGCUAAUACCGGAUAGGAGCUCCUGCUGCAUGGUGGGGGCUGGAAAGUUUCGGCGGUUGGGGAUGGACUCGCGGCUUAUCAGCUUGUUGGUGGGGUAGUGGCUUACCAAGGCCUUGACGGGUAGCCGGCCUGAGAGGGUGACCGGCCACAUUGGGACUGAGAUACGACCCAGACUCCUACGGGAGGCAGAAGUGGGGAAUAUUGCACAGUGGGCGGAGGCCUGAUGCAACAACGCCGCGUGCGGGAUGACGGCCUUCGGGUUGUAAACCGCUUUCGCCUGUGACGAAGCGUGAGUGACGGUAAUGGGUAAAGAAGCACCGGCUAACUACGUG
rnacentral:rRNA from 1 species